GGAUAUGACUCCUCAUCGCAUGGUGGGGGGUGGAAAGCUUUUUGUGGUUUUGGAUGGACUCGCGGCCUAUCAGCUUGUUGGUGAGGUAAUGGCUCACCAAGGCGACGACGGGUAGCCGGCCUGAGAGGGUGACCGGCCACACUGGGACUGAAACACGGCCCAGACUCCUACGGGAGGGAGCAGUGGGGAAUAUUGCACAAUGGGCGCAAGCCUGAUGCAGCGACGCCGCGUGAGGGAUGACGGCCUUCGGGUUGUAAACCUCUUUCAGUAGGGAAGAAGCGAAAGUGACGGUACCUGCAGAAGAAGCGCCGGCUAACUACGUGCCAGCAGCCGCGGUAAUACGUAGGGCGCAAGCGUUAUCCGGAAUUAUUGGGCGUAAAGAGCUCGUAAGCGGUUUGUCGCGUCUGCCGUGAAAGUCCGGGGCUCAACUCCGGAUCUGCGGUGGGUACGGGCAGACUAGAGUGAUGUAGGGGAGACUGGAAUUCCUGGUGUAGCGGUGAAAUGCGCAGAUAUCAGGAGGAACACCGAUGGCGAAGGCAGGUCUCUGCGCAUUAACUGACGCUGAAGAGCGAAAGCAUGGGGAGCGAACAGGAUUAGAUACCCCUGGUAGUCCAUGCCGUAAACGUUGGGCACUAGGUGUGGGGGACAUUCCACGUUUUCCGCGCCGUAGCUAACGCAUUAAGUGCCCCGCCUGGGGAGUACGGCCGCAAGGCUAAAACUCAAAGGAAUUGACGGGGGCCCGCACAAGCGGCGGAGCAUGCGGAUUAAUUCGAUGCAACGCGAAGAACCUUACCAAGGCUUGACAUGGACCGGAAAUGCCUGGAAACAGGUGCCCCGCUUGCGGUCGGUUCACAGGUGGUGCAUGGUUGUCGUCAGCUCGUGUCGUGAGAUGUUGGGUUAAGUCCCGCAACGAGCGCAACCCUCGUUCUAUGUUGCCAGCGCGUGAUGGCGGGGACUCAUAGGAGACUGCCGGGGUCAACUCGGAGGAAGGUGGGGACGACGUCAAAUCAUCAUGCCCCUUAUGUCUUGGGCUUCACGCAUGCUACAAUGGCCGGUACAAAGGGUUGCGAUACUGUGAGGUGGAGCUAAUCCCAAAAAGCCGGUCUCAGUUCGGAUUGGGGUCUGCAACUCGACCCCAUGAAGUCGGAGUCGCUAGUAAUCGCAGAUCAGCAACGCUGCGGUGAAUACGUUCCCGGGCCUUGUACACACCGCCCGUCAAGUCACGAAACUUGGUAACACCCGAAGCCGGUGGCGUAACC
rnacentral:rRNA from 1 species